UAAACUAGCCAGUAUACCCUUGC
rnacentral:misc_RNA from 1 species